AGGAUUAACGCUGGCGGCGUGCCUAACACAUGCAAGUCGAACGAGGUAGCAAUACCUAGUGGCAGACGGGUGAGUAACGCGUGGUCAACCUACCGUUGAGUGGGGGAUAACUAGCCGAAAGGUUAGCUAAUACCGCAUACGUCUCCGAGGGGCAUCCCUUGGCGAUAAAAGGAGCAAUCCGCUCGAUGACGGGACCGCGUCCCAUUAGCUAGAUGGUGGGGUAACGGCCUACCAUGGCACCGAUGGGUAGCUGGUUUGAGAGAGCGACCAGCCACACUGGGACUGAGAAACGGCCCAGACUCCUACGGGAGGCAGCAGUGAGGAAUUUUCCGCAAUGGGCGCAAGCCUGACGGAGCGACGCCGCGUGUGGGAAGAAGGCCUUCGGUCGUAAACCACUGUCGAAGGGGACGAUAAUGACGGUACCCUUGGAGAAACGCCCGGCUAACUACGUGCCAGCAGCCGC
rnacentral:rRNA from 1 species